GACGAACGCUGGCGGCGUGCUUAACACAUGCAAGUCGAACGGAAAGGCCCUGCUUUUGUGUGGUGCUCGAGUGGCGAACGGGUGAGUAACCCGUGAGUAACCUGCCCUUGACUUUGGGAUAACUUCAGGAAACUGGGGCUAAUACCGGAUAGGAGCUCCUGCUGCAUGGUGGGGGUUGGAAAGUUCCGGCGGUUGGGGAUGGACUCGCGGCUUAUCAGCUUGUUGGUGGGGUAGUGGCUUACCAAGGCUUUGACGGGUAGCCGGCCUGAGAGGGUGACCGGCCACAUUGGGACUGAGAUGCGGCCCAGACUCCUACGGGAGGCAGCAGUGGGGAAUAUUGCACAAUGGGCGGAGGCCUGAUGCAGCAACGCCGCGUGCGGGAUGACGGCCUUCGGGUUGUAAACCGCUUUCGCCUGUGACGAAGCGUGAGUGACGGUAAUGAGUAAAGAAGCACCGGCUAACUACGUG
rnacentral:rRNA from 1 species